GGCAGGGGCCUGAUGGACUCCCAGGGAGGCAGGGUCCACUGUGAGCUGGCUCAGCUCCUUGUCCUGGCCCUUCCUUCCCGAAGGCAGAACAUCAGCUCUGGGAGGAGCGCACCCUGAGUGCUGUCUCUGCCCCACACCUGGCGGUCUCUGCCCCCCUGGGUCACAGGCUGCCACAGCCCAGCACCUGCAUUCUACAGACCCCUCCUGUCUCCUCCACUGCUGCUCGGCACCCACAUGUCAGGUCCUGGGCCUCAGGGAAGCUUUGAGCUCCAGGGAGCCAGAGUGGGAUGGCUAGCUUUAGGGAGCUAUUCUGUGACAUGUUGAUAAAUAUGGCAUAUAGUGUAUGUGUGUGUAUAUAUACAUAUAUAGAGAGAAAUAUUUAUAGAUUUACAGAAAGCUGCAGAUUGUACAGAAAGAUCCCAGGUACCCUUCACCCAUUUUGCCCCAGUGGUAACAUCUUGCAUCACUUACAGUACUGACACCAGGAAACCGACAUGGGCACAGUGGGUGUGUCUGAUUCUGUCUGGUUUUGUCAUUUUAUCAUGUGUACCUUCUCGUAACCAUCAGCACAAUCCAGGUGCAGAACUGCUCCAUUAUUACAAAGAUCUCCCUCAUGCUGCCCCCCCUGCCCCCCACUGUUCGUGCCCCUGGCAACCACCGGUCUGUUCUCCAUCUUGGGAGUUUUGUCAGUUCUACAAUGCUACAUGAAUGGAAUUUUUCCCACUCAGCAUCAUGCCCCUGAGAUCCAGCCAAGUUGUGUGUGUCAGUGGUUCUUUCUCUUUUAUUGUUAAGUAAGCUUCCAUAGUGUAAACAUACCACAGUUGUCCAUCCAUUCACCUUUGAGGAACAUUUUGGGUGUUUCCAGUUUUUUGGCCAUCACAAAUAAACUGCAGUGAACAGUUGUGCACAGGUUUUUGUGGGAACUUAAGUUUCGUUCUCUGGGAUGAUGAUCCAGGAGUGCCUGCUGGGUUGUACGGUACGUUUAUGUUUAGCUUUUAAGAACCUCUCAGACUGUCUUACGAGUGUGGCUGUACCAUGUACGUCCUCACCAGCACGUAUGAGAAAUCCACAUUCUUGCCAACAUUUGAUGAUGUCACUGUUUUCAUGUUAACCAGCUGUUCUAAUAGGUGAGUAGUUCAUUCAGGUUUUCAUUUGAAUUUCCCUAAUGGCGAGUGAUGUGGAACAUCUUUUCAUGUGCUUAUUUGCCAUCUGUGUAUUCUCUUUGGGCAAAUGUCUGUUCAUGUCUUUUGCCAGUUUUCUAUUUGGAUAGUUUGCUUUUUUUACUGUUAAGUUUUGAGAAUUCCGUAUGUGUUCUAUAAACAAGUCCUUUGUCAGAUAUGUGGUUUGCAAAUACAUUCUCCUGGUCUGUAGCUGUCUUUUCAUCCUCCUAACAGUAUCGCUAAGAGAGCAAAAGUUUUUAAUUUUGGUAAAGCUCAAUUUAUCAAAUGUGUGGUUUUAUGGAUUGUGCUUUUAGUGUCAUGUCUAAGAAUUCUUCACCAAGCCAUAGGUCCUGAAAAUUUUCUCCUAUGCUUCCUUCUACAAAUUUUGGAUUUUUACAUUUUACUUUUGAGUCUAUGCUGUGAUUGAUUUGAGUUCAUUUUUGUAUAAGGGAUGAAGUUUAGGUCAAGGUAUUUUUGUUCUUUUUUUGCUUAUGAAUGUCCAGUUGCUCUGGCACUUCUUGUCGAAGAGACUAUCCUUCUCCAUUAAAUUGAUUUUCACCUUUGUCAAAAUCAGUGAGUUGUGCCCGCGUAGGUCUAUCUGGGUCCUCUAUUCUGGUCCACUGAUCAUGUCUUUUCCUCCACCAAUACCACAGUCUUGAGGUGGAGUAUACUGAUUCCUCCCAUCUUAUUCCUCUUCAAAACGUUUUUAGCUGUCCUGUUCCUUUGCAUUUCCAUAUAAACUUUAGAAUACUCUUGUCUAUGUCUAUAAAAGAAAACUUUCUAGAAUUUCUAUGGGAAUUGUGUUAAACAAAUAUAUCAAUCUGAGGAUACUUGACAUCUUUGGUAUGUUGUGUCUUUCAAUCCAUGAGCAUGUUACGUAUCUCCAUUUAUUUAGUUCUUUGAUUUCUUUCAUCAGUGCUGUGUAGAUUUCAGCAUACAAAUCUUGUACAUGUUUUUUAGAUUUAUAUCUACAUUUUAAUAAUUGUAAAUGGUAUAUUUAAAAUUUCAGUUUCCAUGUGUUCAUUGCUAGUGUUUGGAAAUAGAAUUGAUUUUUGUAUGUUUAUCUUGUAUGCUGAAACCUCCCUGAAUUCAUGCACUACUUCUAAAAUGGUUUCUUUUUGUUUUGCUUUGUUUGUACAUUCACUGGAAUUUUCUACAUAGACCAUCAUACUGUCUACAAACAGGGACAAUUCUACUUUUCCCUUUCCAGUCUGUGUGCUCCCCCUCCUUUCUUGCCUUAUUGCAUUGGCUAAAACUUUCAGCACUGUGUUGAAUAAGAGUGGUGAGAGAAGUCAUCCUUGUCUUUGUGAUGACCUCUGGCAGAAAGUAUCCAGUCUUUCACCAUUUGACUAGGUGGUUACCUGUGGGUUUUUGUAAAUGCCCUUUGGUAGAUUGAGGAAGCUCUCUUCUAUUCCUACUUUGCUGAGUAUUUUUAUGAUGAAAUGGUGAUGGAUUUUGUCAAAUUUAUUUUCUGCAUCUAGUGAGAUGGUCACGUGGUUUUAAAAAAAAUUCUAUUGAUAUGGUAUAUUACAAUAAUUGAUUUUCAAAUGUUAAACCAAACUUGCUGAAUAUAAAAUUCUUAGUUGACAGUUUGUUUUCUUCCUACAUUUUAAAUAGGCCAUCCUACUACCUUACAAUGUCCCUGGUUUCUGAUGAGAAAUUGGAUGUUAAUUUUAUUGAGCAUCCCUUGUCCAUGACAAGGCAUUUCUCCCUUGUUGCUUUCAAGAUUCUUUCUUUGAUUAUAAUGUGUCUCAUCGUGAAUCUCUUCAAAUUCAUUCUACUUGGGAUUUGAUGAGCUUCUUAGAUAUAUUGGUUCAUGUCUUUUAUUAAAUUUGGGAAGUUUUUGGCUUUUAUUUCUUCAAGUACUCUUUUUGCGCCUUCUCUCUCUCUUCUUCUGGGACUCCCAUAAUGCAUAUGUUGGUACACUUGAUAGUGGUCCACAGAGCCUACAGGCGCUGUUCAUUGUUCUUAAUUUUUUUCUUCUGCUCCUCAAACUGAAAACUUUCAAUUGUUCUACUUUUACAUUUGCUGCUUCUUCCUCUCACCUGCUCAAAUAGCCUUUUGAACCUAUCUCUAGCAAAUUUUUCAUUGCCAAUAUUGUACUUUUCAGCUUAAGAAGAAUUAUUAUUUGGUUCCUUUUUAUAAUCUGUCUCCUUUGAUAUUCUUUAUUUGUUAAUUCAGUGUUGUCCUGGUUUCCUUUGGUUCUUUGCUCAUGGCUUCCUUUAGCACUGAGCAUAUUUAGGACAGUUCAUUUAAAGUCUUUGUCUAGUAAGUCUGAUGUCUGAGCUUCCUCAGGGACGGUUUCUGUCUGUUUCAUUUCUUUUUCUCUGAAUGGGCCAUACUUUCCUGUUCUCCAUAUGACUUAUAAUUUUUUUUGUUGAACCUUGGACACUUUGAAUACUAUAAUGUGGUAAUUCUGAAAAUCAGAUUCUCUCCCCUCCCCAGGAUUUGGUAUUGUUGACUGUUGAGUAUGACAGCCAUCCAUUUCUUUAAUGAUUUUUCCAAACUAUUUUUGCAAAGACUGUAUUCUUUUUGUGUGUGGUCACUGAAGUCUCUGUUCCAUUAUGUCAGUGGUCAGCCACCCACCAGACAGAGAUUUUCUUAAAUGCCUGGAGUCGGAAAGAAAAAAGAAACACUCCUAGUCUUUACGGAUUGCUUCUGAGCUAGGGCACUCCAACGCUAAGCUAGGCUGCCUUAACUCUGCUGUAGCCUUCGCUUCCUGCUUAUGCAGCACUCAAAGAUCAGCCAGAGGUGCAAGCUUAGGGUCCUGUGAGGUCAUUUCUGAGCUGUGGACAUGCAUGUUGCACUCCACGUUCCCUGGUAUACAUGAUUGCCCUUCAGAGCCCUUAUGUGCCCAAGAAUCUUCUUCCUUAGCAUCCCACUUCCCAGGCUUUUAAGUCUUUCUGCUGCUUUCCCUGUCCUCCAUCCCUUGCCCUCAUGGCUGUGGAUAGUGUAUGUCUUUAAGUGCUCUCAUUACAUACCUUCUAGGACAUUGCUCCAGCUUGAGGCAAGUGAAACAAAAGUCACCUUCUGUGCUGGUCCCUCAGGGAACCACCAGAUAGGUCAAAAUGCACAACUCCAGUUUUUUGAGAACAAGGUCCAUAUUUUCCCCUUGGCACCAGCAAGUCAUGCCAGAAAUGUGGGCCACUAUUUCCAUGGUCACCAGCAUGCUGGAGAAAUGGGGGAUCGUAGGAAGAUUUGCCCUGAGCUAUCAUCAGCUGCCAGUCUUCCUCUUUUUGUGUGUGAGCCUCCACCACAGCAUGGCUGCUAACAAACGAGUGUUGUAGGUCUGCACUUGGGAUCCAAACCUGGGCUACUGAAGUGGAGCACACCAAACUUAACCACUAGGUGACUGGGGCUGGCCCCAGAAAAUUUUAUUUAGUGAGUUUUGCUUCAGUGGAGGGACCAAUUCUUGGAGCUUGUACUGCAUCAUUUCUGUGGUAUCAUUCCUGCAUUCUCUUUUAAUUGUCCAGUUAUUGUUAUUUAAUCUCUAUAACUUACAUUUGGUUCUUUUAAAUAGUUUCUAUCUCUUUAUUGAUGGUCUCUAUUUGAUGUGGCAUUAUAAUCACACCUUCUUUUACUUCGUUUUUUUUUUAAAGAUUUGCACCUGAGCUAACAUCUGUUGCCAAUCUUCUUUUUUUUCCCUCUUCUUUAUCUCCGCAAAGCUCCCCAGGACAUAGUUGUACAUGCUACUUGUGAGUGCCUCUGGUUGUGCUAUGUGGGACACUGCCUCUGCGUGGGCUGAUGAGCGGUGCCAUAUCUUGUGCCCAGGAUCCAAACCGGCGAAACCCUGGGCCGCCAAAGCAGAGCCCAUGAACUCAACCACUCCGCCACAGGGCUGGCCACCUUAUUUUACUUAUUUAAUCAAGGGUUUAAAAAAUUUUUUGAACAUGUUUACAAUAGCUAAUUUGACAUCUUUGUUGAAUUUGACAUCUGGUUGCUCUCACAGGCAGUUUCUGUUGCCAGCUUUUAUCCCCUGGUGCAUCAGUCAUACUUUCUUGUUUGUUUAACUUUAACUUUCUUUGUCUUGUAAUUUUUUUGGGGAACUGGACAUUUUAGAUAAUACAAUGUAGGAAGUCUGGGUACUGGUUCCCCUUCCCCCUUCUGAGGCUUGUUAUUCUUAGUUGCUUGUUUAUUUGUUUAGUGACUGGCUGGAUUAUCUUAGGGGAGUGUACCUCCACCUCACCCUGUAGUAUUAUGCUUCUGAUGUUCUCCUCAGGGAGUGUAGCCUUAGGUUUGCCUACUAUCACCUUUGAUGAUGGUGGUUUUGACAGGGUUCUACUUAACAGCUCUUUCCCAGACCGUACCCAGCUGUGAAGCAUCACUAGGUGCUGACUGAUUGUUCCCUGUUUUCAACACUAUCCUGGGUCCUAAAUUGCUCCAAAGACUAAUCUAACCAAAUUUGGAAUCCUUUGAAGGGAUAGUUCCUGAGGUCAGUGAUUGAGAUUUGUUCUGACCUUAGGAGGGCUCCCCACCACUCCCCCUUCUCUCAGAAAACUGUCUGGCCUAUAUAUCCACCUAUAUCUCCAAUGAAUCUAUCCUUCUCCCCCUAACUGCCUUUUGCGACAACUUCCACUGCUUUUGAAAGUGUUGGGACUUCUCCAUACUCUAUUGAAAGUGAAGUCAGUUACUUUAGGAACAGAUUAGGCUCUAUUUGUUUUAUGACUUGCUUCUCUCCUCAGGCAAAAAUCUCUGAGCCAGGACUCUGAAUGUGGGGUGGGGACAAUGGUGCCUUUUGUUGUUGAGAUGUAUGAGUUAUUUAUAUAUUUUGGAUAUUAACACCUUAUCAUGUAUGUCAUUUGCAAAUAUCUUCUCCCAAUUGUUAGGUUGUCUUUUCAUUUUGUUGAUGGUUUCAUUUGCUGUGCAGAUUUUCAGUUUGAUGUAGUCCAAUUUAUUUUUUCUAUUGUUUCCCUUCCCUGGUCAGACAGGAUACUUGAAAAUAUGCUGCUAAGACCAAUGUCAAAGAGCAUACUGCCUAUGUUUUCUUCUAGAAAUUUCAUGGUUUCAAGUCUUAUAUUCAAGUGUUUAUGGUGUAAGACAAUGGUCUACUUUCAUUCUUUUGCAUGUGGCUGUCCAGUUUUCCCAACACCAUUUAUUGGAGAGACUCUCCUUUCUCCAUUGUAUGUUCUUGCCUCCCUUGUUGAAAAUUAGCUGUCCAUAGAUGUGUGGGUUUAUUUUUGGGCUUUCAAUUUUGUUCCAUUGAUCUGUGUGUCUGUUUUUGUGCCAGUACCAUGCUGUUUUGGUUACUAUAGCUUUGUGGUGUAUUUUGAAGUCAGGGAGUGUGAUACCUCCAGCUUUGUUCUUUUUUCUCAGAGUUCCUAUCGCUAUUCAGGGCCUUUUGUUGUUUCAUAUAAAUUUUAGGAUUCUUUGUUCUAUUUCUGUGAAAAAUGUCAUUGGAACUUUGAUCACAAUUGGAUUGAAUCUGUAGAUUGCUUUAGGAAAUAAGAGCAUUUUAACUAUGUUAAUUCUUCCAAUCUAAGAGCAUAGAAUAUAUUUCCAUUUCUUUCAACAAUGUUUUUUUUCCCUACUUUAUCUCCCCAAAUCCCCCCAGUACAUAGUUGUAUAUUUUAGUUGUGGGUCCUUCUAGUUGUGGCAUGUGGGACACCACCUCAGCAUUGCCUGACGAGUGGUGCCGUGUCCGUGCCCAGGAUCUGAACCAGUGAAACCCUGGGCUGCCAAAGCGCAGCACGCGAACUUAACCAUUUGGCACAGGGCCAGCCCCUCAACAAUGUUUCAUAGUCUUCAGCGUACAUGUCUUUCACCUCUUUCCUCAAGUUUAUUCCUUGGUAUUUUAUUCUUUUUGUUAUAAUUGUAAAUGGGAUUAUAUUCUUAAUUACUCUUUCUGCUACUUUGUUGUUAGUGUAUAGAAAUGCAACUGAUUUUUGUAUGUUAAUUUUGUAUCCUGCAAUUUUACCAAAUUCAUUAUUUAUUUCCAAAACUUUUUGGUGGAGUCUUUAGGGUUUUCUAUAUAUAAAAUCAUGUCAUCUGCAAAUAGUAAUAGUUUAACUUCUUCCUUUCCAAUUUGAAUCCCUUUUAUUUCUUUUUCUUGCCUGAUUACUCUGGCUAGGCCUUCCCAUACUAUGUUAAAUAAGAGUGGUGACAGUGGGCAUUCUUCUCUGGUUCCUGUUCUUAAAGGGAUAGCUUUCAGUUUUUCUCCAUUGAGAAUGAUAUUAGCUGUGGGUUUGUCAUAUAUGGCCUUUAUUUUGUUGAGUUACUUUCCUUCUGUACCCAUUUUAUUCAGAGUUUUCAUCAUAAAUAGAUGCUGGAUCUUGUCAAGUGCUUUCUCUGCAUCUAUUGAGAUGAUUAUGUGAUCAUCUCAAUUUUAUUCUUUAUUUUGUUAAGGUGAUGCAUCACAUUGAUUUGCAGAUGUUGAGCCAACCCUGCAUCUCUGGAAUAAAUCCCACUUGACCAUGGUGUAUGAUCUUUUUAAUGAAUUGUUGUACUUGAUUUGCUAGUAUUUUGUUGAAGAUUUUUGCCUUGAUGUUCAUCAGUGAUAUUGGCCUGUAAUUUUCUUUUAUUGUAUUAUCUUUGUCUGGUUUUGAUAUCAAGGUAUCAUUGGCUUUGUAGAAUGAGUUGGAAGCUUCCCUUCCUCUUCAAUUUUUUAGAAUAGCUUGAGAAGGAUAAGUAUUAAGUCUUCUUUGAAUGUUUGGUAGAAUUCACCAGGGAAGCCGUCUGGUCCUGGAUUUUUACUUUUUGGGAGGUUUUUGAUUAUUGUUUUGAUCUCCUUACUGGUGAUCAGUCUUUUAAAAUUCUGUAUUUCUUCUUGAUUCAGUAUUGGAAGGUUGUAUGAUUCUAUGAAUUUAUCCAUUUCUUCUAGAAUAUUCAAUUUGUUGGGAUGUAGCUUUUCAUAGUAUUCUCUUAUAAUCUUUUGUAUUUCUGAAGUGUCC
rnacentral:lncRNA from 1 species